rnacentral:rRNA from 1 species
AGGGUUAUAUGAUCAAGUAAUUAAG